rnacentral:rRNA from 1 species
AACGAACGCUGGCGGCAGGCCUAAUACAUGCAAGUCGAACGCCGUAGCAAUACGGAGUGGCAGACGGGUGAGUAACGCGUGGGAACCUUCCUAAUGGUACGGAAUAGCCCGGGGAAACCCGGAGUAAUACCGUAUAAGCCCGUAAGGGGAAAGAUUUAUCGCCAUUAGAUGGGCCCGCGUCGGAUUAGCUAGUUGGUAGGGUAACGGCCUACCAAGGCUACGACCCGUAGCUGGUCUGAGAGGAUGAUCAGCCACACUGGGACUGAGACACGGCCCAGACUCCUACGGGAGGCAGCAGUAGGGAAUAUUGGACAAUGGGCGAAAGCCUGAUCCAGCCAUGCCGCGUGAGUGAUGAAGGCCUU